CUUCUUGCUACACCCUCACGACUAAUGACAGUGCUUAUUCCCUUAAGGACUCUCAUUAGCCGCGCGAGUCACUGCAGCGGAAGAGGUUCAAGUCUUAGAAACGGUAUAAAUUUUAUAAACAGUAUUAAAGCGUUUCAAUCCCGUUUUCAGGUAAUCCCGUUUCCUAGAAGAAAAGGGGCCUGAUUAGGCCCCUUUCC
rnacentral:sRNA from 1 species